GACGAACGCUGGCGGCGUGCCUAAUACAUGCAAGUAGAACGCUGAAGAGAGGAGCUUACUCUUCUUGGAUGAGUUGCGAACGGGUGAGUAACGCGUAGGUAACCUGCCUUGUAGCGGGGGAUAACUAUUGGAAACGAUAGCUAAUACCGCAUAACAAUGGAUGACACAUGUCAUUUAUUUGAAAGGGGCAAUUGCUCCACUACAAGAUGGACCUGCGUUGUAUUAGCUAGUAGGUGAGGUAAUGGCUCACCUAGGCGACGAUACAUAGCCGACCUGAGAGGGUGAUCGGCCACACUGGGACUGAGACACGGCCCAGACUCCUACGGGAGGCAGCAGUAGGGAAUCUUCGGCAAUGGGGGCAACCCUGACCGAGCAACGCCGCGUGAGUGAAGAAGGUUUUCGGAUCGUAAAGCUCUGUUGUAAGUCGAGAACGGGUGUGAGAGUGGAAAGUUCACACUGUGACGGUAGCUUACCAGAAAGGGACGGCUAACUACGUG
rnacentral:rRNA from 1 species